UCCCCUUUUAGCCGUUAAGUGCUCAAACAAAGGAAUGGCUGGGCUGGCCCGAUGGCUCCAUUACGGAAGGUGGGAUGCUGCUUUGUUUUUCGGCGGGUGGGGGGACACUCGCAGCUUGCCGGCCAACCUUGGGGAGAGAGGUUGUUUUUCUCCGUGGUGGGAUCAGGCCCCCUGGACUCCGACUGCUAAAGCUUCCUGCUUCUGAGAACAACACUGAGAACCGGGACGCCCACGGUGAGCAAGUUCUUCCCUCACCCUUCUCCCACCUGGGAUGGCUGGUGCCGCCUCGCUCCCCUGCUCCUGCAGCAACCGCGACUGAGAGGCUGCCUGCCCUGCUCCAUCGCGACUGUGCGGAUGAGGAGGGCAUCUGUGACUGGAAAAAGGGACUGAGUUUCGUUCUGUUCUGUCACUGAUCUUUUCAUAGCUGAUGUUGUUCUUGUUUUGUCUUGUAGAUAUAUCAGUAAAGAACUGUUAUUCCUAAACCCAUACCUUUUGCCUGAGAAACCCUUAACUUCCGAAUUAUAGUAAACUGGGAGGGAGGGAAUUUUCACUCUCCAUUUUUGGAAAAACCUCUCGCCUUUUCUGGCAAUACUGUCCCCUAAAUCAGGACAAGUACAAACUGUAAUCCAAGGUGGCAAAAUGGUGCCGCUAUUGAUAUUGCUAACAUGUUUUUCUCCAUUCCUUUAGCAGCACAGUGCAGGUCACAGUUUGCUUUUACCUGGUGGGCGUUCAAUACUGCUGGAAUUGACUGGCCCCGGGGUGAAAACACAGCCCCACUAUUUGCCAUGGACUGAUCCAGACUGCACUAGAAAAGUGUGAGGCUCCAAAACACUUCCAGUACAUUGAUGACAUCAUUGUAUGGGGGAAGAUUGCCUAGGAAAUUUUUGAGAAAGGGGAAUAGAUAAUCCAGAUCCUCCUGAAGGCCAGUUUCAUCAUAACACAAAUUAGGUUCAAGGGACCUGCCCAGGAAAGUAAAAUAGAAAGAUGGUGGUCAUCAGAUUCCAAUGGAUGUGGUCAGCAAAAUAGCAGCUAUGUCCCCACCAACCAGCAAGAAGGAAACACAGGCUUUCUUGGGCACUGUUUUUUUUUGGAGGAUGCAUAUCCCAGAGUACGGUCAGAUUUUUAAAUCCUCUCGAUCAUGUGACCUGGAAGAAUGGUUUCAGGUGGGGUCCUGGACAACAGGCUUUUGAACAGUUUCCAGUAAAUUGUUCUUAUCUCAACCCAUGAUCUUUGCUUUUUCUCUCCCAUGGGGAAAGAGGGGCAGGGGGAGGGAGGGGAGUAGCUUAUGGUUUUCUUUUUCUUUUUAGGGGGAGUACUGAAUUGGGGGAUACCAUUCCUAAACUAUGACACCUGUAGUUUAACUUUCUGGUUUUAUCUUGGAUCUUAUCAUUGCUGCAAUUCUGCAAUUUUGCCUGAUGAUCUGAAUUCUUGGUUGAACCUGACCAUCAUCUGCCCUGCUUGCCUUGCUCUGGUACUUGUGAGGCUGGAUCCUAGUCAGCAAGGCUCCAUCUCUGCUGUCAAAGUUAUCCUCCUCUUCUCCCUGGACCUUUGGGAGCAGCUGGUCCUUGCUGUUCCAUGACAGGAAUGACUGAAAUGUGCAUUUAUUCAUGUCAGUGAGUUUUAUCUAAACAAAUAAUUUAAAAAUUGCAAAGUAAUUUGAAUUUAAAACAUCAUAUUUAGCACGGUGAUGCUCUAAUAAUAUUUUACCACUUUAAUAGCUAUCUCUCAUCCCACACUCCCCCCCUCUAUAUUUGGCUACUCAUUUAUACAUUUAUUGUAUCUGAGCAACUGUCAAAAUUGCAACAAAUAUGAGUCCUAUCCAAAAAUUGUGAAACUUAGCUUUGGCUUCUGUACAGAGUCUACCAUGUAUGCACUAUAACAACAUGACACACUGUGGAACAGUUUAGCAAAAGGACUAAGGAGAUCUCUGCUACAUCCCUCAUCAUCUCUGAAGAAAUUUAUUCACUGCUUUAAACUGAAACAUUGGGGUUAUUUGUAAUAUAG
ensembl:lncRNA